CCUACGGGAGGCAGCAGUGGGGAAUUUUGGACAAUGGGCGCAAGCCUGAUCCAGCAAUGCCGCGUGCAGGAUGAAGGCCUUCGGGUUGUAAACUGCUUUUGUACGGAACGAAACGGCUCUUUCUAAUAAAGAGAGCUAAUGACGGUACCGUAAGAAUAAGCACCGGCUAACUACGUGCCAGCAGCCGCGGUAAUACGUAGGGUGCGAGCGUUAAUCGGAAUUACUGGGCGUAAAGCGUGCGCAGGCGGUUAUAUAAGACAGAUGUGAAAUCCCCGGGCUCAACCUGGGACCUGCAUUUGUGACUGUAUAGCUAGAGUACGGUAGAGGGGGAUGGAAUUCCGCGUGUAGCAGUGAAAUGCGUAGAUAUGCGGAGGAACACCGAUGGCGAAGGCAAUCCCCUGGACCUGUACUGACGCUCAUGCACGAAAGCGUGGGGAGCAAACAGGAUUAGAUACCCUGGUAGUCCACGCCCUAAACGAUGUCAACUGGUUGUUGGGUCUUCACUGACUCAGUAACGAAGCUAACGCGUGAAGUUGACCGCCUGGGGAAGUACGGCCGCAAGGUUGAAACUUAAAUGAAUUGACGGNNGNGAGNGCGAGCGACGACGAGGGAGAGG
rnacentral:rRNA from 1 species